rnacentral:rRNA from 1 species
GACGAACGCUGGCGGCGUGCUUAACACAUGCAAGUCGAACGGAGAGCGAUGGAAGCUUGCUUCUCUCAAUCUUAGUGGCGAACGGGUGAGUAACGCGUAAUCAACCUGCCCUUCAGAGGGGGACAACAGUUGGAAACGACUGCUAAUACCGCAUACGAUCUAAUCUCGGCAUCGAGGAUAGAUGAAAGGUGGCCUCUACAUGUAAGCUAUCACUGAAGGAGGGGAUUGCGUCUGAUUAGCUAGUUGGAGGGGUAACGGCCCACCAAGGCGAUGAUCAGUAGCCGGUCUGAGAGGAUGAACGGCCACAUUGGGACUGAGACACGGCCCAGACUCCUACGGGAGGCAGCAGUGGGGAAUCUUCCGCAAUGGACGAAAGUCUGACGGAGCAACGCCGCGUGAGUGAUGACGGCCUUCGGGUUGUAAAGCUCUGUUAAUCGGGACGAAAGGCCUUCUUGCGAAUAGUGAGAAGGAUUGACGGUACCGGAAUAGAAAGCCACGGCUAACUACGUG